rnacentral:tRNA from 1 species
GCACCUGUAGCUCAGUGGACUAGAGCAGCGGAUUUCUAAUCCGUAGGUCGCAGGUUCGAUCCCUGCCAGGUGCG